AAGAGUUCUGAUCCAAUGAAAAUGAAGUCAGUACAAGUAUCUGGGCACUUAAGGUCCAAAUCAGAGAGCUAGAAUCUUUCAGAGAUUCCCACAAAUAAUGUCUCAGUAAAUGUUAAAU